CAGAAAGGUAGACAGAGAGAAGCAACUGGAGUUAGACCAUGAGUCAGAAGUCCCUUGUCAGCAACUGUAGAGUGUGUAGUGUCUGCAAUUUGGACAUAUACUGAGAUCAGUAUCAAAACAGAAAGCAAAUUAGUGUAAUAUAGAUGUGAUGUAACAUCUGAAAGGCCAAGAUAAGAGGAAGAGAAAAAGAAAAAGAAGAGGAAGAAGAAGAAAAG